GCUGUCGCUCGGGUCCGGCUGCGGGCCACAGGCCGCGGAUCGCGCUCUGCCAGCACCCCACGCCCGCAAGCGCGGCCCCUCCGCCACCUCGCGGCCCGGCCUGACCUGUUAAUCACGUCCCCACGGCUCUCCUAGCGGGGACACCGCCGUCUGCAGGCUCCGUCCCCACAGUGCCCAGACCCCGGGAAGUUUGUCAGUCAGCACCCUGAUGCCAGCCGAUUCUCAAAAAGCCAGGAGCAUCCAAGCAGAUGAUUUGCCAGACGGUACUGCAGCAAUGGAGAUGAACAGAUAAUUCACACAGAAAGAAGGACGAGGGAUUGGAUCAAGCUGGGGCGAGAUAGAGUGGGGAAGUGAUGAGCUAAGAAAAAUUAGCCUGCAAGCAUGACGUGUCGCACGUCAGCAAGGCUGCAGCCUUGGAUUCUGAUGUCUUGAGAAGAGCGAUUCACCUGUGAAUUCUCACAGCCCUGGCCUCAGAAAGACGGCCCGGGACCAGGCCCGAUGGCACCCCUCUUCCCAGCUCUCAGCCAGGGCGGAAGGCACAAGUGAUGGCCCUGGCCUCCGCAGUCACACUCCUCCUGAAAGCUGACUGGCUGAACCUCACCUCUUGGCUAGCUUGCCACCCAGCUCUUGAGAACAUGUUUGUCCAAGGCCUCUUGGCAGGUCUCGAUG
rnacentral:lncRNA from 1 species